GCACUCUUAGUUCAGUGGCAGAAUGCCAGCUUCCCAAGCUGGUCACGCGGGUUCGAUUCCCGCAGGGUGCA
rnacentral:tRNA from 1 species